GACGAACGCUGGCGGCGUGCCUAACACAUGCAAGUCGAACGGAGAUUUUAUGGAAUGCGGCUUCGGCCAAAUGAAAUUUAAUCUUAGUGGCGGACGGGUGAGUAACGCGUGAGGAACCUGCCCUUAAGAGGGGGACAACAGUUGGAAACGACUGCUAAUACCGCAUAACGUAUUGAGAGGACAUCCUCUUAAUACCAAAGGAGCAAUCCGCUUAAGGAUGGCCUCGCGUCUGAUUAGAUAGUUGGUGAGGUAACGGCUCACCAAGUCGACGAUCAGUAGCCGGACUGAGAGGUUGAACGGCCACAUUGGGACUGAGACACGGCCCAGACUCCUACGGGAGGCAGCAGUGGGGGAUAUUGCACAAUGGGGGAAACCCUGAUGCAGCAACGCCGCGUGAGGGAAGAAGGCCGGAAGGUUGUAAAAUCCUUUUAAGCAAGAAGAAUAAACUUUACAGGGAAUGGUAGAGUGGUGACGGUAUUGCUUGAAUAAGCAACGGCUAAUUACGUGCCAG
rnacentral:rRNA from 1 species